rnacentral:rRNA from 1 species
UACGUAGGGGGCAAGCGUUGUCCGGAAUUAUUGGGCGUAAAGAGCGUGUAGGCGGUCCGGUAAGUCAGCUGUGAAAGUCAAGGGCUCAACCCUUGAAUGCCGGUUGAUACUGUCGGGCUAGAGUCCGGAAGAGGCGAGUGGAAUUCCCGGUGUAGUGGUGAAAUGCGUAGAUAUCGGGAGGAACACCAGUGGCGAAGGCGACUACCUGGCCUGUUCUUGACGCUGAGGCGCGAAAGCUAGGGGAGCAAACGGG